CGGAAGCGAGUCAGCUUCCCAGUCAUGCCACGGAAUCUCACCUCCAGAAGCCUCCAGCACAGGGGUGGUCCCCUGGCACCCAGGACGUCUACUGCCCUUCCUGACCCCCAUGGGGCCACCCUCUCGGGUCUCGCACCCACCACCACCACCACCCAGAGCCACAACAACUGACCCAGGAGAACACUCUCCCGCAGCAUACUGGAGCCUCCACAGCCCUCAUGUGCAACUUGCUGUGCUCAGCUUACUCCUCUUGGGGACUGAGGGCACUUCUCUGCCUGGGGACGCCACCUGCCACGGAGGCCAGGGAAUGACACCCACGAGCACUGGAGUGGCGAGCACCCAAGAGGAGAUACCCUACAUCCAAGGUCAGUAACAGUGGCCAGGUGGAGAUACCCCACGUACAACAUCAGAAGCAGUGGCUGUGCUUUACUGGAGCAGCCGUGAAGAGAUACCCCACGUCCAAGGAUGCUUUGCCCAGAAGGCAAGAAGAAUCAUUCCUCAGAGGUCAAGAAUAUCAACUACCAGCUGAGUCAAGAGGGUUCAUAGCUGGCCACAAAAAUGGGUGACCCAGUUGAAGAUACCAAAACACCAGAUGAGGAAGUUAACUACAUGAAGACCAGACUAUAUCCAGGAUUUGAGCUGCCACAAUUCUGAGGAUUGACCACAAGGAAAUGGGAACCAGCACACCCCAGAACUGAAGAUUAAUUGCCUGAAACAAACAAGACGAUGCCAGUCAGAUCGAUGAUGACCAAUUUUAAGAUGACUGUGCUGUUUCUACAUGUAACCUCCCCUCCUACCCUGUCUAUAAAAGCCCUCACCCCCUUGUCGGGAGUCGGGGGUAGGGGAGUCGGCCUGUGGACAGAUGUCUGCCACCAUCCCCAACCCCCCUAGUUGCCAGUAUCUGAAAUAAAUCAAACUUUCCUUUCUA
ensembl:lncRNA